rnacentral:rRNA from 1 species
GAUGAACGCUAGCUACAGGCUUAACACAUGCAAGUCGAGGGGCAGCGGGAUUGAAGCUUGCUUCAAUUGCCGGCGACCGGCGCACGGGUGAGUAACGCGUAUCCAACCUUCCGUACACUCAGGGAUAGCCUUUCGAAAGAAAGAUUAAUACCUGAUGGUAUCUUAAGCACACAUGUAAUUAAGAUUAAAGAUUUAUCGGUGUACGAUGGGGAUGCGUUCCAUUAGGUAGUAGGCGGGGUAACGGCCCACCUAGCCAACGAUGGAUAGGGGUUCUGAGAGGAAGGUCCCCCACAUUGGAACUGAGACACGGUCCAAAACUCCUACGGGAGGCAGCAGUGAGGAAUAUUGGUCAAUGGACGAGAGUCUGAACCAGCCAACGUAAGCGUGAA